rnacentral:lncRNA from 1 species
GCCCCCCUCCCCCACAUUCAUCAUUCCACUGCACUUCCCCCCACCCCAUUCCAACCAACAGCAGAUUGUGCUGUAGUAUUUACUACUGAAAAAAAUCUGCAUGUAAGCAGACGCAUGCAAUUUUCAAACCAGUGUUAUUCAGGGGUCAGCUUUACUCAGUUUUUAUAAGGUAGUGUUGAAGGUGUUCUUAGGAGUAUUGCUAUUAUUCCUCUCAAGUAGCACUUAACUAAUUUGCUUGGAUAACACGCACUCUCCAUUAUCUUGUUAAAGAGUAAUAAGUAGUUCCAAGUGAAUGAAGGAAAACUAUUAUGCUUUUAGGCUGUUCUCUGAUAUACCAACUUAUUUCUUUUUCUACAAAUUUGCUUGUUUCUCUAUUUAUUUGUUCCUAAGCCUUUUUAAAGUAAUUUUUUCAUUACACAAUCAUUUAUUGAUUAUAAUCUGAUAAAAUGUGAGUAUAUAUAGAAUGAGAAUUAGUUUAAUGAAUUUAAGCUUGGGUACAAAACUCAGUAAAGACAAAUUGCUUUAAAAAGUUAUUCUUGAAUUAGAUAUGAUCAUGAAAAAUACAGAAGAUUAAAGAAAAAAGAAACUAUAAAUAUCUAUACUCAAGAGUACUUCAUAGAAAUCUUAAAGUUUUGGCUCUGCUUUAAAGAAACUGAAAGAAUUCAUAAACUUUGAAUUAUGGAUCUGAUCCUAUAAAAAAACUUUAGAAUUUCAGUCAGCAUAUAUACACUAAAAGCCUUAACCUUACUUAACCUUACUUAAAUAUUAGCAAAUGAUGUAUCUUCAUAUAUUCAUAAAAUGUUUGGGCUUUUUCAAUUAAAAUUUUGAAAUUUAAUCAAUUUCCUCAUUUAUUAGGAAAUUGUUUCUUCCAUUUCCUUAUAUGUAAAGUGGGAUUUGUGUAGAAAUACCAGAUGAUCUUUUCAAUUUUUUCUCAUAGCUUAAAAAUGUUUUUUAAAAAACUGAAUUCAUUUUCUCAGAUAUGUUCAGUAACACUGACCAAUUUUCCUAUAAAUCAGGGAAGUCCUUGCUCUAAAAUAAUAUAAUCCCUAACAUUAAUUUUAGAUAGUUAUUCUUUUUCACUAUUAGCCUUAACAGGCUCAACUGUAAUGCCUUACAAGUUAGAUUUUUCCCUUCUCUCACCUCUACUAUUUGUUUUCUCUGUUUGAUUUGCCUAAGGAAAAGAAUAUUAUUCUCUAAGGAAUAUCUGAAAGUAUUUGGCUGAGUUCAUUCUGAGACAAAAUAGAAGCGUCCAAAGGAAUGCCAUUGCUGUAUCAAUAUGAUAAAAACAGUAUAAAUGAACUGAUAGGAUUUACUUUUUUUCUUUCAUUGUGGUAAAAAAUACAUAACAUUAACUUUACUAUUUUUAAGAGUGUAAUUUAUUGCCUUUAAGUAUACUGACAGCAUUGUGCAAUCGUCAACAUUAUCCAUUCACAGAACUUUUCCAUCAUUCCAAAACAGUAGCUCUACACCCAUUAAACAGUACUCCUAAUCCCGACUUUCACCCAGUGCCUAGUGAACACUGUUCUGUUUGGUUUUUGGUUUUUGUCUUUUUAGGGCCGCACCCUCGGCAUAUGGAGGUUCCCAGAUUAGGGGGUCUAAUUGGAGCUGUAGCCGCUGGCCUACACCACAGCCACGCCAGAUCUGAGCCAUGUCUGCGACCUACACCACGGCUCACGGCAACGCCGGAUCCUUAACCCAGUAAGCAAGACCAGGGAUGGAACCUGCAACCUCAUGGUUCCCAGUCGAAUUCGUUAAUCACUGAGCCACCACGGGAACUCCUGAACACUUCUAUUCACUAUGAAUUUGAUUAUGCUAGGUACCUAAAAAAGUAGAAUUAUACUUAUUUAUCUGUCUGGCUUAUUUCACUUAAUAAUGUUUUUAAGUUCCUCCAUAUCCUUAACCCACUAGCCAUAAGGGAACUCUGUUUUUACCUUUUGUGUGCAUGUAUGUCUUUUGGGAGCUGCACCCAUGGCAUAUAGAAGUUCCCAGGCUAGGCGUCAAAUUGGAGCUGCAACUGCUGGCCUACACCACACCUACAGCAACGCCAGAUUCAAGCUGUGUCUGUGACCUACACCACAGCUCACGGCAAUGCCAGAUCCUUAACCCACUGAGCAGGGCCAGGGAUCUAACUCACGUCCUCAUGGAUUCUAAUCAGGUCUGUUAUUGCUGAGGUAUGAUGAGCAUUCCCUAUUUUUAGCUUUUGACAUUUGUUAAUAAUGUUGCUUCUAUGAACCUUGAUGUACAGAUAUCUGUUCAAGACCCUACUUCCAGGACCUUUUGAGUAUAUAGAAGUGGAAUUGGGAGUUCCCGUCGUGGCACAGUGGUUAAUGAAUCUGAUGAGGAAACAUGAGGUUGUGGGUUUGGUCCCUGGCCUUGCUCAGUGGGUUAAGGAUCUGGCGUUGCCUUUAGCUGUGGUGUGGGUCACGGAUGGGGCUCGGAUCCUGUGUGGCUGUGGCUGUGGCUGUGGUGUAGGCCAGUGACUACAGCUCCGAUUCGACCCCUAGCCUGGGAACCUCCAUGUGCCGCAGGAGCAGCUCAAGACAAAAAGACAAAAAAAAAAAAAGAGGUGGAAUUACUGGAUGGUAUGAUAAUAAUUUUUAUUUUUAACUUUUAAAAACCUGUUUAACUUUUUGAGGAACCACCAAAUUGUUUUCCACUGCAGCGUCACCAGUUUGCAUUCCCAACAGCAAUGCACAAGAAUUCUUACCUCUCCACAUCCUUGCUAACACUUGUUAUUUUCCGUUUUUUUUUUUGUUUUUUUUUUUUUUGGCAAAAUCCAUCCUAAUGGGUUUAAUAUAGCAUCUCAUGGUGAUUUUGAUUUGUGUGAUUUACUUUUAACCCAGAUUGAGAAAUGCAUACAGAUAAAUUUCUUUGUUGUCCCAACUAAAAAUUCUUGGUAACCUGUAAAAUUGCAUUUUAUAGUUUUAAACUACACAUCUGAAUUUACUGGUUGUUCUUGUUAAAUUAGUCUUGAAACUACUGUAAUACAUAAAUUCUUUAAAUGUUACAUUGUAUUUUUUGAUUUGUUUCUGACAUCCUCAAAGUUUAAAUCAUUUCUCUCCAGCGACAACCGUUUGUUACCUAGACUCACAAGUAAUCAGCUUAAUAAAGGACAUUCUAUAUGCAGGCAAUUAUAGUCAUUGAUGCCUGCUAAUGCAAGCUGCUUUGUAGUCAUUAUCUAGCAAUACGGGACUAAAGAACUUGAUUAUUCUUGUUUUUCAUUUUUAUUAAAUUAAGAAGUUUUUUUGAAUAGUGUCAUCUUGCAAAUGGUUCUUAAGAGUAAUACCUUUCAAGACUCCAUAAUCACUAGAUAAUUAACCUGCCAGGAUUAAGUAUACUCAACUUUGCCUCAGGAUGCUUAACUCUCAAAUAAAGUCAAUUAUCUCAUGAUAAUAACUACUUUGUCAAGAGUUACCACUUAAUUCCACACUGAAACGUCACUCUCACCCAUACAAUGUGCUUUAAGAUAGAGUUUAAAUAAUAAAAUACAGCUUGCAAAUUGGGUAGAAUUUAGUUUAAUUAUUUCAUACAUUUUAAGAAUGCUGCAUUUUAGGUAAAACUCCCCCUCAUAGACCUAGUAUUUUGAAUCUCACAGAUGAUUUCUGUUUUCAAAGAUUAUAUGUUACUCUGUUUCAUCCAUCUUUUUGCUGGCAAUAUUCCCAUGUUGUACAUUUUCUUGCAAGGAAAUCCAUUUUUUAAACCUAUUGAUCCUACAGAAGAUUCAGUAUAUUAAAAAUCUCUAGUGUAGGUCAGGAAAAUAGAAAUUACUGUCUCUUUCCUGAGUGAUGAUUUAACUUUUAAAAAAAAAUGUCUAUUUUAGCCAGGAAUGAAUUACAAAACAGUAAACAAAAUUCUGCAGUUCUGUCGUGGCUGAGUGUGGCUCUUCAAUCAUAUUAGGACAGUGAUAUAUAUAGCCAAGAACAGUAAUGCUACUUAAUGCAUCAGGACAUUUUGAAACAUAAAAUUGACUUCACUUAUUUGAAUUUUUGUUUUCUAAACCUGAAUAAUGGUUCUGUCCCCUUACAAGAAAACCCUGAUCAUCUUUUUGCUAAACCAGAUGGAAUAGGUUAACUUUUUAUUUCACAUAUUUUCCUGGAGGAGGAAGGGGAUAUUUAUUGAUGUUUAUUGUUUACUCUGUUAAAUCCAUCUUAAUCUUUCUAACAGCCAUUGAUUCUUUUUUAAAAAUGCUAAUAUAAAAAUUAAUAGUUGGAAAACAGCAGUAGUGCUUUUAAUUGUAAAUAACCUUUGAUAAACUCUGUCUUAUCUGAAGUAUUUUGUCUGUGUCUAUACAAAGAUGUCUUUUGCUAUUUCAAUAUGAAAAUCUGUGUAAAUCUUUAAAUUAUGUGUGCCAAGUAUAGGAAGUGCUGUACAUGUAUACAUCUUCAUCCCAAUAGUCUCUCUUUAGUUAGGAGACUUUCUCUUUUUUAUAAGUUUGUUUUUUAAUUUUUGGAAAAAAAUUCUCCCUUCUCUCUCAAAUCUGUGCACAUUUUAUCCUCAGAGAAUUCCUUUUUGAAUUUUUACAUCUUUUUGUCGAAUCUAAUUCUUUGCAAUACAUGAUUUCCAAACGCUUUCAGAAAGCAGGCUGUCACCAAAUCCAUAUUCUGACAGUAGAAGAGAUGGUCUUUUCUUUUCUCAUAUCAGGAUGUUUCCAACAUGAACAUGGGUAACAGAGCUGUGUCUCAAAUGAUAAUUCUACCCUAUUAAGUAUACAAAGGUGUCUAGUUUCUUCCAAGGAAUGAUGGAAUUCACCUCCCUGAGGCUCUUCAUGUAGAGCUUUCCAUUCCUCUUUCAUUACUAUAAGCAAAGAGAGUGAAAGGAGCCUGUGAUAUAGACAAAAACUAAGGUUGUUGUAAGAUCAGCCCAGAAAGGGGGAAAGAUGUUUUGGAGAAGAUAUAUUUUGAACCUCUUCAGAAUAAUUAAAACUUAUGGUGCUCUUAUAAAAUUCUGAUAUAUUUUCUGCUGAGGAUAAUGAAAUUUCAGUCAAGACAGGGCUAUGGCAUUGUAAGACUGCUGCUUAUUAGCUCUUGGAUUUAACUUUCUCCUCAAGGCCUUUCUGAUAUAUUUUACUCAUC